GUGCUCACUUCGGCAGCACAUAUACUAAAAUUUGAAUGAUACAGAGAAGAUUAGCAUGGCCCCUGCACAAGGAUGACACACAAAUUCGUGAAGCAUUCCAUAUUAAA
ensembl:snRNA U6 U6 spliceosomal RNA